rnacentral:rRNA from 1 species
AUUGAACGCUGGCGGCAGGCCUAACACAUGCAAGUCGAGCGGAGCGGCGGACGGGUGAGUAAUGCCUAGGAAUCUGCCUGGUAGUGGGGGAUAACGUCCGGAAACGGCCGUUAUUACUACUACUAUUAGAUGAGCCUAGGUCGGAUUAGCCAGUUGGGGGGGUAAAGGCCUACCAAGGCGACGAUCCGUAACGGGUUUGAGAGGAUGAUCAGUAACACGGGAAGUGAGACACGGUCCAGAAUCCUACGGGAGGCAGCAGUGGGGAAUAUUGGACAAAGGGCGAAAGCCUGAUCCAGCCAUGCCGCGUGUGUGAAGAAGGUCUUCGGAUUGUAAAGCACUUUAAGUUGGGAGGCGUUACCAACAGAAUAAGCACCGGCUAACUUCGUGCCAGCAGCCGCGGUAAUA